rnacentral:rRNA from 1 species
AAUGAACGCUGGCGGCAUGCCUAACACAUGCAAGUCGAACGAGACCACCGGGUCUAGUGGCUCAUGGGUGCGUCACGCGUGGGACCCUGCCCUUAGGUUCCGAAUACUACUCCGUCAGGGGUGCUAAUACCGGAUAAUUUCCUCGGAUCAAAGAUUCAUCGCACUUGGAUGGGCGCGCGUUGGUUUAGCUUGUUGGUAGGGUAAAAGCCUACCACGGCGUCGAUCCAUAGCUGGUCUGAGAGGAAGAUCAGCCACACUGGGGCUGAGAUGCGGCCCAGACUCCUACGGGAGGCGGGAGAGGGGGAUACUGGACUAUGGGGGGAGGCCUGAACCAGCAAGGCCGGGAGAGUGAUGAAGUCCUGAGAGAUGUAAAGCUCUUUUACCCGGGAUGAUAAUGACGGUACCGGAAGAAUAAGCACCGGCUAACUCCGUG